rnacentral:rRNA from 1 species
AGUAGUUUGAUCCUGGCCUCGAAGAACGAACGCUGGCGGCAGGCCUAACACAUGCAAGUCGAGCGCCCAGCAAUGGGGAGCGGCAGACGGGUGAGUAACGCGUGGGUAUCUACCUAGUGGUGCGGAAUAGCCCAGGGAAACUUGGAGUAAUACCGCAUAAGCCCGAAAGGGGAAAGAUUUAUCGCCAUUAGAUGAGCCCGCGUUGGAUUAGCUAGUUGUGGGGUAACGGCCCACCAAGGCGACGAUCCAUAGCUGGUCUGAGAGGAUGAUCAGCCACACUGGGACUGAGACACGGCCCAGACUCCUACGGGAGGCAGCAGUGGGGAAUAUUGGACAAUGGGCGCAAGCCUGAUCCAGCCAUGCCGCGUGAGUGACGAAGGUCUUCGGAUUGUAAAGCUCUUUUGGCGGGGACGAUAAUGACGGUACCCGCAGAAUAAGCCCCGGCUAACUUCGUG